AUCUGAUGAUGUGGACAUUAUAGCAAAAACCCUUGAAACGCUCCUAACAUUCAUUGAAGGGUUCUCCAUCAUGUUGUGCAAAGUUGAACAUUUGGGCCCUAAACCC